GAUGAAGAACGCAGCGAAAUGCGAUAAGUAGUGUGAAUUGCAGAAUUCAGUGAAUCAUCGAAUCUUUGAACGCAUAUUGCGCUCUUUGGUAUUCCGAAGAGCAUGCUUGUUUGAGUAUCAGUAAACACCUCAAAGACUUCAAUUUGUUUUGAAUGGCUUUGGACUUGAGCAAUCCCAACACCAGUCUUUACGAUCGGUGGAGGGUUGCUUGAAAUGCAGGUGCAGCUGGACAUUCUCCUGAGCUAAAAGCAUAUUUAUUUAGUCCCGUCAAACGGAUUAUUACUUUUGCUGCAGCUAACAUAAAGGGAGUUUGACCGUAUUGGCUGACUGAUGCAGGAUUUCACAAGGGUCGGCAACGAUUCUUGUAAAACUCGAUCUCAAAUCAAGUAAGACUACCCGCUGAACUUAAGCAUAUCAAUAAGCGGAGGA
rnacentral:misc_RNA from 1 species